GGACAGCCAGUUAGCGCGAAGAGGCGUGGCCACAAGGAGGCUGUUGCGGACAAGCUGGAGCUACGGUUGGACUUGAGGCCUGGAUCAGCGGGGAAUAGAAACCCACAGAAAGUUCUGGAGCGCCAGGCGGGAAUCAGGUGCUGAAACCAGCGAGUCCUCCCGUAAGGAGGAGGCUUCCGGACGCUUCGGGGCCCAGAGACUCAGACGCGGCCCGGGGUUUCGUGACGCACUCGGCUUCGGGGCGGGACCGGCGCUGGCCAAGAUGGAGGCCAACGUGUUCCGCUUCCGAGAUGCCCGCUCUGCUCCGGAUCCCGUGCUCGAAGCCGGGCCGGUGGCCUUCGGGUCGCAGCCGGUGCCUCUGGUGCUGGACAACGGGUCGUUCCAGGCUCGGGCCGGGUGGGCGUGCCCCGGGCCGGACCCCGGUCCCGAGCCUCGCCUGCAGUUCCGCGCCGUGUGUGCGCGCGGCCGCGGCGGGGCGCGCGGCGGGCCGGGGCCGCAGGUGGGCAACGCGCUGGGAAGCCUGGAGCCUCUGCGCUGGAUGCUGCGCUCGCCCUUCGAUCGCAACGUCCCGGUCAACCUGGAACUGCAGGAACUGCUGCUGGACUACAGCUUCCAGCACCUCGGCGUCUCCUCGCAGGGCUGCGUUGAUCAUCCCAUAGUUCUGACAGAGGCUGUGUGUAACCCCCUCUACUCCCGUCAAAUGAUGUCGGAGCUCCUUUUCGAAUGCUACAGGAUCCCGAAGGUUGCCUAUGGGAUAGACAGCCUCUUCAGCUUCUACCACAACGUGCCCAAGAAUGCCCUUUCCAGCGGCCUCAUCAUUUCAUCCGGCUACCAGUGCACACACAUCUUACCGGUCUUGGAAGGGAGGCUCGAUGCCAAAAACUGCAAGCGCAUCAAUCUUGGAGGAAGUCAGGCAGCUGGCUACCUGCAGCGGCUUCUCCAGCUGAAGUAUCCAGGCCACCUGGCAGCCAUCACACUCAGCCGCAUGGAGGAGAUCCUGCAGGAGCAUAGCUACAUUGCCGAGGACUACGGGGCAGAAUUGCAGAAGUGGCAGUGUCCCGAUUACUACGAGAACAAUGUCCACAAGAUGCAGCUCCCGUUCUCCAGCAAGCUCCUGGGCAGCACACUGACGGCGGAGGAGAAGCAGGAGCGGCGGCAGCAGCAGCUGCGCCGGCUGCAAGAGCUCAACGCCCGGCGGAGGGAGGAGAAGCUGCAGCUGGAUCAGGAGCGGCUGGAGCGGCUGUUGUAUGUGCAGGCAGGAGCUCCUAGAGGAAGGACAGAUGGACCAGUUUCACAAAGCUCUGAUCGAGCUGAACAUGGACUCCCCAGAAGAACUGCAGUCCUACAUACAGAAGCUCACCUUGGCGGUGGAGCAGGCCAAACAGAAAAUCCUGCAGGCCGAAGCCAGCCUGGAGGUGGAUGUGGUAGACAGCAAGCCAGAGACCCCUGACCUGGAGCCGCUGGAACCCACCAUGGAGGAUGUGGAGAACAUCAGUGAUUUCGAGCCUUUGUUCUCGGAGGAAACGCCCGAAGUGGAGAAGCCGCAAGUCACCACAGUCCAGCCCGUGUUUAACUUGGCAGCGUAUCAUCAGCUGUCUGUUGGGACAGAGAGGAUCCGUGCUCCGGAGAUUAUUUUCCAGCCAUCCCUCAUAGGAGAGGAGCAGGCGGGGAUUGCAGAGACCCUCCAUUUUGUCCUGGACAGGUACCCAAAGGCCAUUCAGGACACCCUGGUUCAGAACGUUUUCCUUACCGGUGGGAACGUGAUGUACCCAGGCAUGAAGGCCCGAGUGGAGAAGGAGCUGCUGGAGAUGAGGCCCUUCCAGUCCUCCUUCCAGGUUCAGCUCGCCUCGAACCCUGUGCUGGAUGCGUGGUACGGUGCCCGUGACUGGGCCUUGGAUCACCUAGAAGACAGUGGAGCCUGGGUCACCAGGAAGGACUAUGAAGAAAAGGGGGGCGAGUACCUCAAGGAACAUUGCGCCUCCAACACGUACGUCCCCAUCCGCCUGCCUAAGCAGGCCUCACGUGCCUCAGAGACGCAGACUUCCGGCCGAGGCUCCAGCGCCAGUGGAAGUGGGGCUGGUGAUCAGGCCUAGCAGGGGGGACGCCAGAUGACCUUGUGCUUCACCCUUGCCAUGGAGGCAGUGUUUGGGACAAGGACAGUGCCCCAUGGUGCUGCCUGGGUCUGACAGCCUUGUUUGGCCAGUGACUGGAUCUCCCCUGGGAGCCCAGCAGAGGAGAGCAGGUGAUCUACCUCAGUGAAGGACACAGUGGCCUCUGGCACCAAGAACUGUGGACAAGCUGGGGGACUGCCUUCCUCAGCAGUGAGGGAAACAGCUGGAGGGAGAAGUGGGCAGUGCUGCUCUUUGCACUGUUUUGUUUUGUUUUUAAAGCUCUAAAGUUA